UACAGGGGGGGCAAGCGUUGUUCGGAAUUACUGGGCGUAAAGGGCUCGUAGGUGGCCAACUAAGUCAGACGUGAAAUCCCUCAGCUUAACUGGGGAACUGCGUCUGAUACUGGAUGGCUUGAGUUUGGGAGAGGUGAGUGGAAUUCCGAGUGUAGAGGUGAAAUUCGUAGAUAUUCGGAAGAACACCAGUGGCGAAGGCGGCUCACUGGACGACUGUUGACGCUGAGGUGCGAAAGCGUGGGGAGCAAACAGG
rnacentral:rRNA from 1 species